GAUUAUUUAGUUUAAAAAAAAUAAAUGUUUUGAAAACAUUAGAUAAGAACAGCUUCUUAAUAAUUG
rnacentral:tRNA from 1 species